AGUGAACGCUGGCGGUAGGCCUAACACAUGCAAGUCGAACGGCAGCACAGUAAGAGCUUGCUCUUACGGGUGGCGAGUGGCGGACGGGUGAGGAAUACAUCGGAAUCUACUUUUUCGUGGGGGCUAACGUAGGGAAACUUACGCUAAUACCGCAUACGACCUACGGGUGAAAGCAGGGGAUCUUCGGACCUUGCGCGAUUGAAUGAGCCGAUGUCGGAUUAGCUAGUUGGCGGGGUAAAGGCCCACCAAGGCGACGAUCCGUAGCUGGUCUGAGAGGAUGAUCGGCCACACGGGAACUGGGACACGGUCCAGACUCCUACGGGAGGCAGCGGUGGGAAAUAUUGGACAAGGGGCGCAAGCCGGAUCCAGCCAUACCGCGGGGGUGAAGAAGGCCUUCGGGUUGUAAAGCCCUUUUGUUGGGAAAGAAAAGCAGCAGGUUAAUACCCCGCUGUUCUGACGGUACCCAAAGAAUAAGCACCGGCUAACUUCGUG
rnacentral:rRNA from 1 species